rnacentral:rRNA from 1 species
UACAGAGGUCUCAAGCGUUGUUCGGAUUCAUUGGGCGUAAAGGAUGCGUAGGCGGACAUUUAAGUCAGAUGUGAAAUACCCGAGCUUUAACUUGGGUGCUGCAUUUGAAACUGGGUGUCUAGAGUGCAGGAGAGGUAAGUGGAAUUCCUAGUGUAGCGGUGAAAUGCGUAGAGAUUAGGAAGAACACCAGUGGCGAAGGCGACUUACUGGACUGUAACUGACGCUGAGGCGCGAAAGCGUGGGGAGCAAACAGG